CGGCCGCGUCGACGGGGCCCGCACAAGUGGUGGAGCAUGUGGGUUUAAUUCGAUGAUACGCGAGGAACCUUACCUAGGCUAGAAUGCGCGUGACCGGCUCAGAGAUGAGCCUUUCCUUCGGGACACAAAGCAAGGUGCUGCAUGGCCGUCGUCAGCUCGUGCCGUGAGGUGUUGGGUUAAGUCCCGCAACGAGCGCAACCCCUAUGUUUAGUUGCCAGCAUGUAAUGAUGGGGACUCUAGACAGACUGCCUGCGCAAGCAGUGAGGAAGGCGGGGACGACGUCAGGUCAUCAUGGCCCUUACGCCUAGGGCGACACACGUGCUACAAUGGACGGUACAGCGGGUAGCUACACAGCGAUGUGAUGCCAAUCUCGAAAAGCCGUUCUCAGUUCGGAUUGGAGUCUGCAACUCGACUCCAUGAAGCUGGAAUCACUAGUAAUCGCGCAUCAGCCAUGGGCGCGGUGAAUCGUUCCCGGGUCGACGCGGCCG
rnacentral:rRNA from 1 species